UCGACGCAAGCGCAGAAAGUUGGUUGAAAUCGAGAAAGUUCACAACGUAUAUCGAUGACGAAAGAUCGUGAAAUAUUUUGAUAAUUGUAUACAGAAGAUUGUUUCACAAUUAUAUUUCAUAUAAUAGUGAUUAAAUACUUGAUUUUUUGGCGCCGAUCUUCAAAUGGAAUCGCUUCUCUUUUUAAGAUAAAUUCCUAUAACGAAUCACAUACUAUCGAAGAUAAUUUCAAGCUUCCAAGAACCGGCAAAGAUAAGCAAAGAGGCGAAAUUAAAACUGUUAAUGACAAAUAAAACUGCAAGUUUGAUAAUUUCGAAACGACCAAACCAAAUGAAUGAAUCGUAUUUCAUUGGACUUUAGUAUGACGGCUGUCUUCAAGAACGAACGCAUAUUAUCUACUAUAUGCGUACUACCUAUUCGAACACGAGGAGACCCAUAACCUCAUCGUCGUUGUUGAUUACAUGUUCUGUCAAAUGCGUUGACGCGUUGGCUCGUAAGAACCUUAAUGAUCCUAACGAGUUCCCCUCUUGGUGAAUCUUGCAAAUGAUGUUAAUCAUAAACCAUGAAGUAUUUUGGCACUGCGGACAAUGGAAUAACAUGAUUUUCAUAAUAUUACAUUCAUUAUAUUGUUUUCAUGGUAUUAAUUCGUGUAAAGUUAGUCAAGAAGUAGAAUAUAUACAUGAUGAGAGAUUUAAAGAAAAAUAGUAAUAAUUGGGAAAACAAUCUUAAUAUAUAUAUCUAUGAACAAUUAAAAUUAUCUCAUCUAUUUAAAUAUAUUGAUUAAUCUCAAAAACAUUUUUAUUAUAACUCUAACAAGAAUAAACAGCACUUAACAUAAAAAUAAUUAACAAGAAGACUCUCCUUCUUUUAUGAUUUAUAAACAUGUAUGAGUUGAAUAUUAAUUAAAGUGAUUUUAAUAAAGUAGAAACCGUAGAUAUAUUGAUUGAAUAAUGAAAUGAGAAUAGAAAGUGAGCUAUGCUAUCGUAAUUGUGCAUCUUUAUGAUGAGUGUUCAUGUAAAUACAUUCUCUAUACCACA